CAGCUACCAUCCACACAAAUACAUAGUUUUUCUGACUUCACAUUUAUUAAGUGAAAUUAAUUUCCCAUGCUGUGGAAAGUUUAUUGAGAACUUGUUUCAUAAAUGGAUAUCCCUACUAUGACUGUGAAAACGUGUCAAGUGUCACAUUAGUGUCACAGAAAGCACACACCCGUGCAAUAUGCCUUAUCUAUCUUUAUUUGUAAAAAUCCAAGCAUAGUUUAAAAUAUGAAGUCAAUAUUACCAGUCUUCAGUUUCUAAGAGGGUUCUUUAUGAUUAUACUAAGUGUAUAAAAGAGUUUAAGUGCUUUCUUUUUCAUCACUUACUUUCUUUAAAAUCAGCUAUUACAGGAUUUUUUUUAUUUUAUACAUGCUGUUUUUUAAGUAAAAUAUAAUCACUGAAUUGAAGUUUACUAAUUUGAUUUUAUAAGGUUUGUAGCAUUACAGAAUAACUAAACUGGGACUUAUAAACCAGCUGUGAUUAACAAUGUAAAGUAUUAAUUAUUGAACUUUGAACCAGAUUUUUAGGAAAAUUAUGUUCUUUUUCCCCUUUUAUGGUCUUAACUAAUUUGAAUCCUUCAAGAAGGAUUUUUCCAUACUAUUUUUUGAGAUAGAAGAUAAUUUGAGGGGAGGGGUGGAGGAUGCAUGUAUGAUACUCCAAAAUGUCAACAUUCUUUACUAUAGGUAAUAAGUGAUUAUAAACAAGAUGCAUUUUAGAUAGCAUUAAUAUAUUGAGCCUUGGAUUAUAUAUUUGAUAUAGGACCUGUUUUGAAUAUUCAGUUAAUCAUAUGGUUCCUAGUUUACAAGAAGAGCUAGAUCUAAGAUUAUUCCCAUGAGAAAUGUUGAAUUUAUGAAGAAUAGAUUUUGAGGCUUUGAAAAUGGUUAAUUUCUCAAAAACAUCAAUGUCCAAACAUCUACCUUUUUUCAUAGGAGUAGACACUAGCAAGCUGGACAAACUAUCAUAAAAGUAUUUGUCACACAUAAC
rnacentral:lncRNA from 1 species